rnacentral:tRNA from 1 species
UAGGGUAUAGCUCAAGUGGUAGAGUGUGUGCCUAGUAUGUAUGAGGCCCUGGGUUCAAUCCCCAGUACCUUCA